CCGUGAGAAGUGGCAGUAGAGACAAAGAUGGCAGCUCAUCGGUUCACCACAAGUCUCGAUAAAAAUAACGAGGUUUGCAACGAAAGAAGCUAUGGAAAGUUUUUGAUGAAUCAAAUGUUGUUUAAGGUUCGUAGUCAGAGAUCAGGAAUGAAAAUCCGAACUCAGCAUUUGAUCAUAAGGGUUAUUGUAUUGCAAAAUCGAGAUGAUUCAAGCGAAAUGAGGAGAAAACAAUUUCCUGGUCAAAUCUACAUCAUACUCAGAGCAUGCGGUAAAUAAGAAAGUUGAGAAAGCCCCAAGAGUGACAGGCCAAAGAUUCAUGCAGCAAUCAAAGAGUGGAAGUAAUGAUAAACGGAUAACUAGUCAAUGGGAAAUAGUAGGACACAUCCACGGGGUAUUGGCAACCUUUAGCGCAUCAUCUGUGGCUGGCGGUUUGCUGUGUAGUCUUACUGUGGCGCCAAGUUUAUUUGUGGGAAACGGAAAUUUGCUAUUCUACCACUUGGUAUUUUGCAAGUAUGACAAAAUGGCAGUCAUCAGAGACUACUAUCAAAAGUAGCCGUUGUCACAAGUCUUACAGAGGAUAAUGCAGUGAAUACUCAAAGCUAUAACGCCGACAUCUACCGGAUGUUUCAAUCCGAAAGAGAGGAAGGUAUAGAGUUUUGACGCCUUCUCUUGUGUUUGUUCGAUAAGUUGACAUCAUUAGGCAUGUAGUUAAAGAUAAUGGUUGUUUUAGCAGUGAAUAAGCGAGAAUAAAAAAAGGACAAAUUGUUAUUAAGUAGAGCCCUAUAUAGGAUAAUUGUCACUUGGAAAUUGCGGCGUAUUAGUACAGUUUAUGAGGGCCGAAAGGGGGAAGAAAAAUUGGUUAUAUUCGAUUAAAUAGAAAGGAAAGUGUCAUGUUUCUUAUUUUACUGUAUUGCUAAUGAAAAAAAUCUUAUUGUUAUUGCCGGUGUUAUUAUUAACACCGGCAGUGUUCCGGAUGUAAAUGUUUCCUUUAGAAAAAAAAAUGUUAGUUUUAAAUGUCUUGAAUGUCGCACAAUGGAUGGUUUAAUUAAAGAUCUUUAAAAUCA